AGCUCCAAUAGCGUAUACUAAUGUUGUUGCAGUUAAAAGCUCGUAGUCGGAUUUCAGUAUUAGGCCCUUCUUCCAAUAUGGUUGCUAGUGGUCUUUACUUCCUUAACAGAAUCUUUCAUCUCAUUAAUUUGGGGUGUUUGGGGCCUGUUUCUUUUACUUUGAGAAAAUUAGAGUGUUCAAAGCGGGUUUUCGCCUGGAUAUUACUCUUGGAAUAAUAAUAUAGGACUUUGGUUCUUUUUGUUGGUGACUUAGAACCGAAGUAAUG
rnacentral:rRNA from 1 species